UACGAAGGGGGCUAGCGUUGCUCGGAAUCACUGGGCGUAAAGGGUGCGUAGGCGGGUCUUUAAGUCAGGGGUGAAAUCCUGGAGCUCAACUCCAGAACUGCCUUUGAUACUGAGGAUCUUGAGUUCGGGAGAGGUGAGUGGAACUGCGAGUGUAGAGGUGAAAUUCGUAGAUAUUCACAAGAACACCUGUGGCGAAGGCGGCUCACCGGCCCGAUACUGACGCUGAGGCACGAAAGCGUGGGGAGCAAACAGG
rnacentral:rRNA from 1 species